UCUGGCUACUAUGGCUGUGACGGGUGCACUCGUGUUGUGCUUACCAUCUUGCACAGCCUGUAGCAAGCCCCAUUUAGCUACAGCCAAGUUCACAAGCUGUAUUAGUUAUGCAAACUAUCUUGGCUGGUAAAUCAAGAGACUGAACAGUGUGGAAUUGGUGUUUUGUUUUUCUGCACAGGGCAUACAGCAUUAUUAUGUUGUAUAUUUUGUCAAAGAGAACAAUGUUGAAGUUGUACCAGAGCAGUGGGUGGAGAAGAGAGAUGGGGUGAGUUGAUCAGUGAAAUAGUUUACCCUUUUUAGGCAAAGAGAUGGAUAAAUAGUUCACUUUAAACAGUGUCUCAUAUCCUGCAGGUCCUGUGUUGCUACUGGCCAAGAAAUUCCAUUAAGAGAGGAGACCGGCCUGACAAAAUAUUAUGGGAGUGGUACAGAAUUUCCAUCUUUUCAUCAACUGACAAUUACUCUGUGGCAGAGCAACGAGCCAAACGGGGGAUUGACACCUCCAAUGUUGAAUCUGACGAGGAACCAGCGAAGAGGGCGGUGACUAAACCAAUCAGAUUCCGUGUAGAGCCACCUGAUGAUGAUGGAAGUGAAGCACUCCAGAAAAAGACAAAUGAACCCAGACAAGCCCAGCGUACAGUGCCACAGCUUCCACCAGCCCCUAGUGUAACUUCAAGAGCCAGUGUCUUUGAAAAUACCCUACAACAAGUUGCAGAUGCAGAGGACUUGAGGCCAUGUGCCACCUCAAGCCAGAGCGACAGUAAGUGUCUGGUUGUAGUUUUAGGGUAAACAAUUAGUUUUAGGGUAAACAAUUGAAUUGUAUGAAAUA